CACCGGAGAGGGAGCCUGAGAAACGGCUACCACAUCCAAGGAUGGCAGCAGGCGCGCAAAUUACCCAAUCCCGACACGGGGAGGUAGUGACAAUAAAUAACAAUACGGGGUUCUUUAGGAUCUCGUAAUUGGAAUGAGUACAAUUUAAAUCUCUUAACGAGGAACAAUUGGAGGGCAAGUCUGGUGCCAGCAGCCGCGGUAAUUCCAGCUCCAAUAGCGUAUAUUAAAGUUGUUGCAGUUAAAAAGCUCGUAGUUGAAUUUCGGGGUUAGUAGGUUGGUCAUGCCUCUGGUAUGUACUGGUCUCACUGAUUCCUCCUUCCUUAUGAACCGUAAUGCCAUUAAUUUGGUGUUGCGGGGAAUUUGGACUGUUACUUUGAAAAAAUUAGAGUGUUUAAAGCAAGCUAACGCUUGAAUACAUUAGCAUGGAAUAAUGAAAUAGGACGUUCGAUCUUAUUUUGUUGGUUUCUAGGAUUGACGUAAUGAUUAAUAGGGAUAGUUGGGGGCAUUAGUAUUCAAUUGUCAGAGGUGAAAUUCUUGGAUUUAUUGAAGACUAACUACUGCGAAAGCAUUUGCCAAGGAUGUUUUCAUUAAUCAAGAACGAAAGUUAGGGGAUCGANNNCGAUCAGAUACCGUCGUAGNCUUAACCAUAAACUAUGCCGACUAGGGAUCGGAUGAUGUUAAUUUUUUAAUGACUCAUUCGGCGCCUUACGGGAAACCAAA
rnacentral:rRNA from 1 species